AAGGGAGACCUAAUUCCGGUAGGAGACGAAAAAAAAGUAGUCCCUACCAAGAAUCAAUCCCAAAAGGUCGGAGCGAGGCAAAAUUGGCUUUCAAACUAGGUUCUGGGUUCACACAAGACCUGAAUCAGGAACAAGGGCUAUUAGCUCAGGUGGUUAGAGCGCACCCCUGAUAAGGGUGAGGUCCCUGGUUCGAGUCCAGGAUGGCCCACCUGCACAGGUGGAAGAAAGAAAAAAGCUCCGAAUCAGCACCUUAUCUUACUUAUAUAGUAAGAGAGAAUGCUGGCUCUGAGUACAGAGUCCAGAGGGACCUUGAAAACUGCAUAGAGCUAGGUGAAAAAGCCAAAAAAGAAGACCGCAAGGUCAAGCUAAUAAGGGCUAACGGU
rnacentral:tRNA from 1 species